GUGUAACCAAAGGGAAAUAAUCAGUUGUAGUUUAUUGAUUGAAAUCUGUAGGAGUGAUUUCCCUUGGCUGUUUUAUUAGUUAAUCAUGCGUGUAAUUGUUCCCGCCGUUUUCUGAGUUGUCAUCAGUUUUUGGUAGAAGGCAGACAUGUUUUUCAGUUGUUUAAAAUAAUAAAUUGGUUAUUAAUUCUUAAAUAGGAUUUUGGAUUGAGUAUGUUGCAGUAACAUCACAAGAUUGAGAGGAUUUUUGUAUGAGUGUCAUUGAGUCCAAUCCACAAUUGGGCUUGAUCUACUUAUUGAUCUACAUAUUAAUCUACUUAUUGAUCUACAUAUUAAUCUUCAUAUUGAUCUACAUAUUGAUAUCUUUCUGAUACUGAUUAUAUAUUGAUUGGUGCUUUUACAAGUGCUUGAUGUGAAGUUGUGAAUGUGAUGUGACUUUAACCUCUUGGGUUAAAUCUACUUGAUCUUUAUAUCGAUAUAGUAAUAUACUGAGAUCAUACAAUGAAUGGACAUUUCAAUUAAAAGUAUUGAACGAACUCAGCCUCGUUGAUAUUUAUUCCUUUACAUCUUUAAGGGCAUAAUUUUAACAAAGGUAACAUUUGGCGCCCAACAGCUUG